UACGUAGGGAGCAAGCGUUAUCCGGAUUUAUUGGGUGUAAAGGGUGCGUAGACGGGAAAUUAAGUUAGUUGUGAAAUCCCUCGGCUUAACUGAGGAACUGCAACUAAAACUGAUUUUCUUGAGUGCUGGAGAGGAAAGUGGAAUUCCUAGUGUAGCGGUGAAAUGCGUAGAGAUUAGGAGGAACACCAGUGGCGAAGGCGACUUUCUGGGCAACAACUGACGCUGAGGCACGAAAGUGUGGGGAGCAAACAGG
rnacentral:rRNA from 1 species